UUGGCAUGGAAGUACCUUAGGGCCAUAGGAAACAUUUUAUCCAAAGAGACAAGUUAGAUCACCCGUCAAUUUGUUUUAAUAGCCAUUUUAAAAAUGGGGUGAUCUAACUUGUCUCUUUGGAUAAAAUGUUUCCUAUGGCCCUAAGGUACUUCCAUGCCAA